rnacentral:rRNA from 1 species
GAUGAACGCUGGCGGCGUGCCUAAUACAUGCAAGUCGAGCGAAUGGAUUAAGAGCUUGCUCUUAUGAAGUUAGCGGCGGACGGGUGAGUAACACGUGGGUAACCUGCCCAUAAGACUGGGAUAACUCCGGGAAACCGGGGCUAAUACCGGAUAACAUUUUGCACCGCAUGGUUUGAAAUUGAAAGGCUGCUUCGGCUGUCACUUAUGGAUGUACCCGCGUCACAUUCGCUAGUGGGUGAGGGAACGGCUCACCAAGGCAACGAUGCGUAGCCGACCUGAGAGGGUGAUCGGCCACACUGGGACUGAGACACGGCCCAGACUCCUACGGGAGGAAGCAGUAGGGAAUCUUCCGCAAUGGACGAAAGUCUGACGGAGCAACGCCGCGUGAGUGAUGAAGGCUUUCGGGUCGUAAAACUCUGUUGUUAGGGAAGAACAAGUGCUAGUUGAAUAAGCUGGCACCUUGACGGUACCUAACCAGAAAGCCACGGCUAACUACGUGCCAGCCGCCGCCGUAA